GAGGCCAUUUACCCACAGAGGGUGCCAGGCCCGUAUAACAUUAAUGAUUACUAGAAGAUGUUUCUAAAGAGUCGUGUUGCUUGAUAGUGCAGCACUAAGUUGGUGGUAAACUCCAUCUAAAACUAAAUAUGACCCAUGAGACCGAUAGCAAACAAGUACCGUGAGGGAAAGUUGAAAAGAACUCUGAAUAGAGAGUUAAAUAGUACGUGAAACUGCUUAGAGAUUAAACCCGAUGAACCUGAAUAUCCAAUAUGGGGAAUUCAUCAUUAUAAUAUUAAAAUACUAUUUUAAUAUAAUGGUGUGCAUUUUCCCUAUAUAAAUGGACAUUGUAAUCUAUUAAUAUAUAUUUAUAUAUUUAUCAUAAGAUCAUGAGCAUCUGUUUAUUUUAAUUAAUUUGUUUCGGCAUAUUUAUAUUUAAUAAAAGUUUUUGAUUUGAUAAAGUAUUGAUAGAUCAAUUAUGUAUAGUGCAUAAAUUACUUUUGAAAUUUUAUAAUAAUAAUAUUUAUUAUUAUUAUUAUAAGCACUAAUACGAUUUACAAUGCGAAAGAUUCAGGAAACCUUCGGGACCCGUCUUGAAACACGGACCAAGGAGUCUAACAUAUGUGCAAGUUUUUGGGUUAUUAAUAAAAAAACCUAAAAGCAUAAAUAACAUAACUUUUUAUAUAUAUGGGAUUAAUUUUUAUUAUUUAAUUUUAAUAUUAAUUCAAUCCCGGGGCGUUCUAUAUAGUUAUGUAUAAAUGAUAUUUAUAUCAUUUUUACCUCUAACUAGAGCGUACCUUGAGCAUAAAUGCUGUGACCCGAAAGAUGGU
rnacentral:rRNA from 1 species